AGAUCGCUAAGGGAGUAUAGAUGUUCGAACGAGAGCAAGGUUUGGCGAUGGUAGAGAGAUCUGGUCGUGGAGAAUAUUGAGAGGAGAUGGAAUCGACAUGUUGAACGUGACCUGGUUCGAGAAAUUACAGCACUGAGCGGGAUUUAAUGGGACCCUUAAAAAUAAUCAACAAUUGCAAGACAACUUGAAAAUCUUCUUGUGAUAACCUUUGAAAGAAGCCCUCUCGUUCUCACCAAUUUUCAAAGGAAAGCUGGACGAUCAUCAUUCAGAAAGGGAAAAAAGAAAGGCUCAAGCUCAAAUAUGUUGUUAUUAGCUCAGCAAAUUCGGCUUUCUUCAACUCUGUUUCCAAACUCUUGAUUUUAUCCUUCCUUUGAUAUUGUAUUUUGAACCUUAUUAUAUUAUCAUUAAUAUCAUUUGGCCUUUACUUUAAAAAAAAAA